GACGAACGCUGGCGGCGUGCUUAACACAUGCAAGUCGAACGGAAAGGCCCUUCGGGGUACUCGAGUGGCGAACGGGUGAGUAACACGUGGGUGAUCUGCCCUGCACUUUGGGAUAAGCCUGGGAAACUGGGUCUAAUACCGGAUAGGACCACGGCAUUCAUGUGCUGUGGUGGAAAGCUUUUGCGGUGUGGGAUGGGCCCGCGGCCUAUCAGCUUGUUGGUGGGGUAAUGGCCUACCAAGGCGACGACGGGUAGCCGGCCUGAGAGGGUGACCGGCCACACUGGGACUGAGGUACGGCCCAGACUCCUACGGGAGGCAGCAGUGGGGAAUAUUGCACAAUGGGCGCAAGCCUGAUGCAGCGACGCCGCGUGAGGGAUGACGGCCUUCGGGUUGUAAACCUCUUUCGCCAGGGACGAAGCGCAAGUGACGGUACCUGGAGAAGAAGGACCGGCCAACUACGUG
rnacentral:rRNA from 1 species